UACGAAGGGGGCUAGCGUUGUUCGGAAUCACUGGGCUUAAAGGGCGCGUAGGCGGGCCAGACAGUCUGUGGUGAAAGCCUCCAGCUUAACUGGAGAAGUGCCGUGGAUACUGCUGGCCUCGAGGAGGGUAGGGGCAUCUGGAACGGUCGGUGGAGCGGUGAAAUGCGUUGAUAUCGACCGGAACUCCGGUGGCGAAGGCGAGGUGCUGGACCCUUUCUGACGCUGAGGCGCGAAAGCCAGGGGAGCAAACGGG
rnacentral:rRNA from 1 species